AACUGAUUGUGACGGACACUAUUUGAGCAAUUAUGAUCUUAGUCGUUGAUUGAGAUAAUAAAAGGCUCAGAUUAGAAUCAAUUUUCCCUUGUUGCUAUAGCUUCUAGCCGCAGCAACAUUCCUUGUAGCGGCAGCCCAGAUUACCACCAAAAUGCCUGAAAAUUGGCUUGGACAUACUUGCUGCUAGAAGCUCUAGUGGCAGCAGAUUUGGCUUUGUUUGAUAGCGGCAAGAGGUAAUUGAAGUUGG
rnacentral:lncRNA from 1 species